rnacentral:rRNA from 1 species
UUAAAUUGAAGAGUUUGAUCAUGGCUCAGAUUGAACGCUGGCGGCAGGCCUAACACAUGCAAGUCGAACGGUAACAGGAAGCAGCUUGCUGCUUUGYUGACGAGUGGCGGACGGGUGAGUAAUGUCUGGGAAACUGCCUGAUGGAGGGGGAUAACUACUGGAAACGGUGGCUAAUACCGCAUAACGUCGCAAGACCAAAGAGGGGGACCUUCGGGCCUCUURCCAUCAGAUGUGCCCAGAUGGGAUUAGCUUGUUGGUGAGGUAACGGCUCACCAAGGCGACGAUCCCUAGCUGGUCUGAGAGGAUGACCAGCCACACUGGAACUGAGAC